rnacentral:misc_RNA from 1 species
AAUCAUCAACCCCCCAAGGGGCUUGGACUUGGAGCGUGCUGGCGAAGGUCGGCUCCUCUUUAAAUGCAUCAGCGGAAGAAUGCACCUUUUCUCCCUUCGGCGUGAUAAUCCUGUUGCGCCGUGGUCGAAGGUGUUCCGCUUAUAAUCGUCCUCGGACAACGUUAUACU